CAGUCUUCUCCCGUCUCCUCUCUCACGAUAUCUCUCUUGCCCCGCGACUCCUCGCCGCCGCCAUCACUCACGACGGCCGAUUCCGGCGAGUCCCGGCGGCGUGUGGCAGACCAACGACCUCCCCUCGCCCCUCUCCUUCCUCCCAUCCCUCCAGAUCCGUCGCUAGAGGCCUCCCACACUCGCUCCCGACCCUCAACGGUGGCUAGGGUUUCAGGCGUGGCGUCCCCUUCGUCGCCGGCGAGGCUCUAACGGCCUAUGGCGGCUCAUCUCCGUCGCCUCCCCCCACCCCCCACGGGUGGCUCCGCCUCAUGGAUGUUCCUUUCCCGCCCGAUGGCCAGGAGAUGCAUGCGGUGCGUCAGGGCGUGCCUCCUCUGCACCCAUUUGAUGCAGCGGGCGCCUCUCUCUCUCUUGAUUCAAUCCCCAAAAAAAUCGCAUAUUUGGUUCUGUGCCUACAAGGAGCUGAAGUAAGAGAAAACGAAUGCUGUUGCUCGGAUGUUGGUCUGGAGCACCACUCAGAGGCCUUGUUGUCAAGUGGGAGGAUUAGAAGGUAAUGGGAGGUGAUGCCGAGUGGAUCGAUGACAGUUGUGCCUUGUUUCCCCUCCUCACAGACGCUUCAGAACGACAUUUCAGCAUGGCAUCGGUGGAGGAGAGGAUCACUGUCGUUCGCCUGGUUGCGGGAACAGGCUGAGCCUUUAGGUAGGCCAGAAGGCGGGUAACCUCUGCCACAAGCAUGAUCCCUCCUUGCUAGCGGUCUCAGCGACGGCUUCGUCGCCGUAUGGAACCCACCGCCGCCGCCACGGCCACCACUGCGUCCGAGAGGAACGGCACACCAACUCACAACAGGACUUCCUCGGCUGGUUUACUCUCUUUUUUUCUCCGGUUUCAUGCUUUGCACACCAUGUUUGGUGUCACUUGGAUUUUGGUUGAGCUGUUGCGCUGAACCGCGGAUCUCAUCCAGAUUAUUUCAGCUUGGAUUUUGUCUUCCUUUCUACCUCCUAUUUCACUUUUGGUUAGUUCUUCUUGCUUCUGCUGCUCUUUUGCAGUUUUGGCUGGUUGCUAGGUGUUUGUUCCUUGGACUCUAGCUAUCUCAUUUUUCUUCCUCUUUCUCCUUUUGUUUUUCUUUUCUUGGUUAGACUGAAUUGUUUAUGGACUGUUUUGCAGAUACUGAUUUUGGUGUCAGCUCAAGGUAAAAGGCAAAGGCUGAAGGUUAUUGUCAAUGGAAGCAGCUCGUAAAUAUGAAUUCAGAGGAAGCACCUUAUAAAUACGGACAAUGCGGUUACUAUUUCUCUAUGUACUCACUUUUCUUGCAUUUUCGUUUUAUUUGCUUGGAUGCAGGGGCUGACUGCUUUGUGUACCAUGCACAUAGCAGAGUAGCAACUGAGUUACAUAUACUGAGAGCACGAUGAAUAAUGAAUAAUCAGUAUCUAUUGGUUGCAUGGACGCCAGGGUCCGGCGUGUUUCAGUCCAAAUAUAUCCACUGAACAAUUGUUUGGAUGCAGACUAUUUUUGUUUCCUGUAGUGUCAAUUCAAAUAGACGUCAAGAAUAGUGCCAAAGAUGGUUAAAGGCUAGCAUGCCAGUAUUGUAAUUUAGUUGGAUGGACCUAGACAUCGGGCACCAUUGCUGAAUCAUGAAAAACAUAAGUGAUUUUAAUUUUCUAGGUUGUUGGUCGGCAUACCAUACCCUAAUUAGAUCAUCCAUUUUAUGGUCAGUUUGCUUGGUUGUAUGUCGGCAGAGCCCUAAUAUGAUCAUUUGUUUUCUGCUCGCCACGGAUGAUUUAUUCCUGUUUUUAUUCGAGUGCGUCGUUGGUCUAACUUCUAACUAGCAUAUGAGAAUUUUAUCCAAACAACAUAAAUCGAGAAUUUAUCUUGCCAGAACUUCUUAUUGUUGUGUGCAUCUUCUUGAAUACAUCUUUUUAAGGUCAUCCUGAUUUUUCUUCCAGUUGUUUACAGGUCACCCUUUUGUUGAUUGUUGUUGGGUUCCCAAGCCAUUAGAAAAGAGUGAUGCCUCAAUCAAGGUAGAUCCGAGGAUAGAACCUAGGGUGGCUACCAUCGAUGGUGCUAGCCAGCAAGCUCCUAGGACACAGCUGUGGCUAAGAAAAGGACAUGUUGAAGCAGCACCAUCCAUUGUCGUGCUCCUCGGCAUUGAGAAGAAGUCACUCCCGAGUCGUCUAUGUACCACCUCCAGAUAUACCAGAUGUUUCUACUGUUCUCCUUGCCCCUUAAUCCAUGGUCUUUGUACUACAUCAUUAGUUUUAAUUAUUGAGGCACAAGAAUAACUUGUAUGUCAUGCAUACUUUUUUGAUAGCAGGUUAUUAAAUGCGGAUAGAAUAACUUGUGCACUUCUUGCUGCCUGUAUCCCUGUCUCUGUUCUUAGCAGAUAUGCUGAAGAGUGUAUUCCUCUCGUCGCUUUGCAGGGCAUGUCAAGAACUGGUAGCCAAGGAUCUCCAUGGAACUGAGUGGCAUUUCUUGAUGAUUUUACAAUUUGAGCAUUCAGUUUGAAGCCCCUUUAAAUUUCCAGUCGUUUUGUUCUUAUAGUUUCGGUGUAGCACUUCAUGUCACAAUUGAAUACUGAAAUCAUUACUUCAUGAGUA